GCGCCUGUCCUCCAAGAAUUUGGGGCCUGGGAGAAUGGGCCGGCCCCGCCUGUGAGCAGUGUCAUUGUCACCUGAGAGACGAGUGGUGCCAUUUCCUGGAGAACUAAACCUAGGUAGUACACUUAGGUUGUUCGGCACGCAUUUGUAACGGCAUAGAAGGAAAACACCAUGCAAAUGCCAAAAUGGGGAAGUAGGAUCAUACAAGGAAAAGUACAAUAAUGAAGUUAUAGAAAAUAAGAUUGAUUUUGACAGGAAUUGGGGUAGUCUUUAUCUCUAAAAAAAUGUUAAAGUUUAUUUAUUUUGAGAGAGGUGGGGGGAUGGACAGAGAGAGAGAGAGAGAGAGAGAGAGAAUCCCAAACAGGCUCCGUGCUAUCAGCACAGAACCUGAUGCAAGGCUUGAACUCACGAACUGUGAGAUCAUGACCCAAGCCAAAACCAAGAGUUGGACGUUUAGCCAGCUAAGCCACCCAGGCAUCCCGGAUUUAGGUAGUCUUAAUGGGUGACAGUCUUAAGGGAUGGACAAGAUUCUCUUUUUACUUUAAAUGCUUUUUCUGAGUAUAAAAGUAGUACAGGGGUGCCUGGGUGGCUUAGUCAGUUAAGUGUCUGAAUCUUGAUUUUGGCUCAGGUCAUGAUCUCGUGGUUCGUGGGUUUGAGCCCCGCAUCGGGCUCUGUGCUGACAGUUCAGAGUCUGGAGCCUGCUUUGGAUUCUGUGUCUCCCUCUCUCUGUGCCCCUCCCCGCUCAUACUCUGUAUCUCUCUCUCUCUCUCUCAAAAAUAAAUAAUAAAGAUUAAAAAAAUAAAAAA